rnacentral:rRNA from 1 species
UACAGAGGGUGCAAGCGUUGUUCGGAAUUAUUGGGCGUAAAGCGCGUGUAGGCGGCCGUGCAAGUCGGGUGUGAAAGCCCUCGGCUCAACCGAGGAAGUGCGCCCGAAACUGCAUGGCUUGAGUACCGGAGAGGAUGGCGGAAUUCCCCAUAGUAGAGGUGAAAUUCGUAGAUAUGGGGAGGAACACCGGUGGCGAAGGCGGCCAUCUGGACGGAUACUGACGCUGAGACGCGAAAGCGUGGGGAGCAAACAGG